GGUGGUAUGGCUCAAGUGGUAGAGUGCCUGCCUAGCAAGCUCAAGACACUGAGUUCAAACCCCAGUACUACCA
rnacentral:tRNA from 1 species